UUUANAGUUUGAUCCUGGCUCAGGACGAACGCUGGCGGCGUGCUUAACACAUGCAAGUCGAACGAUGAACCGCUUUCGGGCGGGGAUUAGUGGCGAACGGGUGAGUAACACGUGGGCAAUCUGCCCUGCACUCUGGGACAAGCCCUGGAAACGGGGUCUAAUACCGGAUAUGACCGUCUUCCGCAUGGUGGAUGGUGUAAAGCUCCGGCGGUGCAGGAUGAGCCCGCGGCCUAUCAGCUUGUUGGUGAGGUAGUGGCUCACCAAGGCGACGACGGGUAGCCGGCCUGAGAGGGCGACCGGCCACACUGGGACUGAGACACGGCCCAGACUCCUACGGGAGGCAGCAGUGGGGAAUAUUGCACAAUGGGCGAAAGCCUGAUGCAGCGACGCCGCGUGAGGGAUGACGGCCUUCGGGUUGUAAACCUCUUCAGCAGGAAGAAGCGAAA
rnacentral:rRNA from 1 species